rnacentral:rRNA from 1 species
GAUGAACGCUGGCGGCGUGCCUAAUACAUGCAAGUCGAGCGAACAGACGAGGAGCUUGCUCCUCUGACGUUAGCGGCGGACGGGUGAGUAACACGUGGAUAACCUACCUAUAAGACUGGGAUAACUUCGGGAAACCGGAGCUAAUACCGGAUAAUAUAUUGAACCGCAUGGUUCAAUAGUGAAAGACGGUUUUGCUGUCACUUAUAGAUGGAUCCGCGCCGCAUUAGCUAGUUGGUAAGGUAACGGCUUACCAAGGCAACGAUGCGUAGCCGACCUGAGAGGGUGAUCGGCCACACUGGAACUGAGACACGGUCCAGCCUCCUACGGGAGGCAACAGUAGGGAAUCUUCCGCAAUGGGCGAAAGCCUGACGGAGCAACGCCGCGUGAGUGAUGAAGGUCUUCGGAUCGUAAAACUCUGUUAUUAGGGAAGAACAAAUGUGUAAGUAACUAUGCACGUCUUGACGGUACCUAAUCAGAAAGCCACGGCUAACUACGUG